rnacentral:tRNA from 1 species
GCCUGGUUGGCUCAGUUGGUGGAGCAUGGGACUCUUGAUCUCGGGGUUGUGAGUUCGCGCUCCACAUUGGGUG